GACGAACGCUGGCGGCGUGCCUAAUACAUGCAAGUAGAACGCUGAAGGAGGAGCUUGCUCUUCUGGAUGAGUUGCGAACGGGUGAGUAACGCGUAGGUAACCUGCCUGGUAGCGGGGGAUAACUAUUGGAAACGAUAGCUAAUACCGCAUAACAGUAGAUGUUGCAUGACAUUUACUUAAAAGGUGCAAUUGCAUCACUACCAGAUGGACCUGCGUUGUAUUAGCUAGUUGGUGGGGUAACGGCUCACCAAGGCGACGAUACAUAGCCGACCUGAGAGGGGGAUCGGCCAAACUGGGACGGGGACACGGCCCAGAAUCCUACGGGAGGGAGCAGUAGGGAAUCUUCGGCAAUGGACGGAAGGCUGACCGAGCAACGGCGCGUGAGUGAAGAAGGGUUUCGGAUCGUAAAGCUCUGUUGUAAGAGAAGGACGAGUGGGAGAGUGAAAAGUGCACACUGUGACGGUAUCUUACCAGAAAGGGACGGCUAACUACGUG
rnacentral:rRNA from 1 species